rnacentral:lncRNA from 1 species
GGACAGCGGGCCCGCCCGUCACCGCGCUGAGGGGCCGCCUCGGGCCCGCCCCCCGCCGCCCCGCCUGAGGGCUCGGGCUGGGGAGGGCGGCGGGGGACCCGCUGAGGGACCCUCAGCGCCCGCCCUGCGCCCCCGGCCUUCUCCUUGCCGAUCACCGCUCCGGCCGGCCCGGCCGCCUUUGUCUCCUUCCUAGAGCCACCGGCUGAUGGGGCAGCGGGGGACGCGGACCCCGGCGCGGCCGGUGUGUCCCGGCGGCGGGGGCCACGGCAGCCGUUGCUGAAUUACUCGUUGGCGUGUUUGGAAGAGAUGGAUGCCACCAGUGCCCUGUGGAUGUGCUGCACACGUUGCCUGUGCCCUGUGCAAGGAUGGAGCAGCAGCACUGGAGUACUUUGCUUGCUGUGCUAGGGAUGCAGGCUGUGAUGGAUUUGACCUGACUGGUUGCUCAAGGAUGUCUGCAGGAUUUUGCAUCUUAAGUAUUGUUUCUACCGCUGUGCUUCAGGGACAAUUUUGA